rnacentral:rRNA from 1 species
UACAAAGGGGGCUAGCGUUGCUCGGAAUCACUGGGCGUAAAGGGUGCGUAGGCGGGUCUUUAAGUCAGGGGUGAAAUCCUGGAGCUCAACUCCAGAACUGCCUUUGAUACUGAAGAUCUUGAGUUCGGAGAGGUGAGUGGAACUGCGAGUGUAGAGGUGAAAUUCGUAGAUAUUCGCAAGAACACCAGUGGCGAAGGCGGCUCACUGGCCGAUACUGACGCUGAGGCACGAAAGCGU